rnacentral:rRNA from 1 species
AACGGCGAGUGAAGCGGCAACAGCUCAGAUUUGAAAUCCGGUCCUUGGACCCGAGUUGUAAUCUGUAGGGGUAGCUUCGGGCGCGGCGUCUUCUGAGUCCCCUGGAACGGGGCGCCAUAGAGGGUGAGAGCCCCGUACGGUCGACCGCUAAGCCUAUGUGAAGCUCAUCCGACGAGUCGAGUAGUUUGGGAAUGCUGCUCAAAAUGGGAGGUAAAUUUCUUCUAAAGCUAAAUACCGGCCAGAGACCGAUAGCGCACAAGUAGAGUGAUCGAAAGAUGAAAAGCACUUUGAAAAGAGGGUUAAAAAGCACGUGAAAUUGUUGAAAGGGAAGCGCCUGUGACCAGACUUGCGCUCGGCGGCUCCGCGUGCCUUCUGGCUCGCGUACUCCGCCGGGCUCAGGCCAGCAUCGGUCUUCGCGGGGGGACAAAGGCGCCGGGAACGUGGCUCUCUUCGGGGAGUGUUAUAGCCCGACGCAGAAUGCCCUCGCGGGGACCGAGGUUCGCGCUCUGCAAGGAUGCUGGCGUAAUGGUCAUCGGCGACCCGUCUUGAAACACGGACCAAGGAGUCAAACGUUUGUGCGAGUGUUUGGGUGUCAAACCCCUACGCGUAAUGAAAGUGAACGGAGGUGAGAGCCUUCUAGGCGCAUCAUCGACCGAUCCUGAUGUCUUCGGAUGGAUUUGAGUAAGAGCAUAGCCGUUUGGACCCGAAAGAUGAUGAACUAUGCCUGUAUAGGGUGAAGCCAGAGGAAACUCUGGUGGAGGCUCGCAGCGGUUCUGACGUGCAAAUCGAUCGUCAAAUAUGGGCAUGGGGGCGAAAGACUAAUCGAAUCAUCUAGUUGCUGGUUCACGCCGAAGUUUCCCUCAGGAUAGCAGUGUUGAACUCAGUUUUAUGAGGUAAAGCGAAUGAUUAGGGACUCGGGGGCGCCAUAUUGCCUUCAUCCAUUCUCAAACUUUAAAUAUGUAAGAAGCUCUUGUUGCUUAGUUGAACGUGGGCAUUCGAAUGUAUCAACACUAGUGGGCCAUUUUUGGUAAGCAGAACUGGCGAUGCGGGAUGAACCGAACGCGGGGUUAAGGUGCCAGAGUGGACGCUCAUCAGACAC